GUCGCUCAUCAUUGAUGGACUUCAACAGUGAUGCUGGGUACUGAGUGUCUGCUGCAGAUAUUAGCUUUAGUUUCGACAUGCCUGUGGAUAAAAGGCUCAGAUGAACACACUCCUGUAGAAGAGGACGUGAAGAACAGCAGCUCCGAUUCAAGUUCACAGGAAAAAGAAGGAGAAGAAAAUGAAAUCAAAGAAGAGCAAGAACAGGAAGCACUCGGAAGACAGCAAGGCAGAAACUGAUUCUGAAGG